UAAAAGUCCUUCUGGAGGCUUUGCAUUUGAACCCCUAUGACUGGUUGCGGACUUGAAGGGAACGCCUUUCUGACAUCCAGGAAAAAGUUUUAUUGGACAGUAGAGAUCUACUGGAAACAGUGGAGAGGGAGGAGAUGAUAUGCAGCAAAAGGCCGAGCCGGAUGGUUGCUGCUCCGUGUGGAACG